GGAUAGAAAGAGAUCCCAUGAGUGCCGCUGCUUAGUCUGGCUCGGGCUUCGCAUCAUUUUUCUCCACCUGAGGAUGAUAGGAGCAUAUUUAUGCGCCUUAGUUAGCUAGUUCUUAUGCAUUUCCAUGGUGUUUUCUUAGUUAAAGUAGUCUUUUAAGCUAGUUUUAUGUGUUUUCAGGUUUUAAAGCCAAAGGAUGCAAGAAGAUGCAUUUUGGAGAUUUUUGGAGCAAAAUUGGGCUUGGAAUGAUUAUCACAUAAUUGGAGCCAAGGUUUGGACGAAUUUGAAGACUUGAAGAUGAUGAUUCCUACUUGAACAAUGUUUCCUAGUUGAAAUAGGAAAGUGCUUACAUGAAGGAGGAUUCCUAAUCGACGAAGGAUUCCUAAUCGAUGAAGGAUUCCUAAUCGACGAAGGAUUCCUAAUCAACGAAGGAUUCCUAAUUGAAGAUGGAUUCCUAAUCACAUGAGGAUUCCUAGAAGAACAAGGAUUCCUCCUCCAACAAGGAUUCCUACUUGAAGUAGGAAAGUUAAGCCAAGGUUUCCUACUUUGGUUUGAUUUUCCUAAUUGUCCCUAAAAGUUCCAGCAAUUAUGAAGACUUUCUAAGCAUUAUAGGACACAAAACAAAAGCCUAGAACCCUUUUGAACCCUUGCCGCACCCCCCUUUGCAUUCCUCUUCCUUAUUUCCUGUUUUUAUGCUUUAAAACACCUUCCUUUUGUGUUUUAAACCCUAGCCGAAUUUCCCUUGCCCUUUCCUUUAAUUUUCUGAUUUAUUUCCUAAUUCUAGAAUCCUUAGACUUAAUUUCUGAUUUCCUAAGCAACCUAGGGUUUUAAUUUCUGUUUUCCUUUAAAUAAACCUCCUUGUUGCAACCACAAAACAUUCCACACACAUCCAUACAACUCCAUUCACGCCAGAAACCUUUCCCCUACCUUUGCCGUGCCCAACCUUCACCCAAAUCCAUAUUUUCUGACCCCAAAACCUUCCUAGCGUGCCAUACACCCAUCCUAGACACUUUCCCACCAUUCUCCAUCAUCCAAAACCCAUCCAAAUCAUCUCCAUACCUUGUGCCGCAGCAAGAAGGAAGAAGGAGUGCUCUUGAAUGUGCUUGCUAGUCUAUUGCAGAUUGCUGGAACUUUUAGGUGUAAUCUUUCUUAUGUUUUCAAUAUUUCAAUUCAAUAAACUUUGUGUUGUGAGUAUGAGGAACUAAACCCCCUUAGUUGGGGGGUGAUUCGAAACCAUGUACAUGCUUGCAAUAUGAUUUGAUUACAUUAAGUUGUUAUUUCAUAAGUUGUGGAUUCAAUUCGUUCAUCUACUUGAUUGAUAACUUAUUUGUGUAUGUUGAU
rnacentral:lncRNA from 1 species